AGCAGGGGUGGCAUGAGGAUGUCUCUUUUUGCCUGAAGGAGGACACACUCACACAGAUGAGCAAGAAACGGGCUUUCAGCUGAGAAGUGCACCCAGGUGUGAACAAAUGAGAUGGCGCCUGAACCCCCCUGGGACCUGCAGCUCUAGAUCUGUGAGGCCCAGGAAACCCCAAGACUUGGCAUCUCUAAAUCUACUGCAGUGCCUGGUGCAGUAGGUACUCAGGAAAUGGAUGGAUGGAUGGAUAAAUUGUUCUGGCUGAGGGCAUUACAAGAAGAAACAAGACUGCCAGACUUCAUGGCUUCGUGGAGCCCAUAUUCUAGUGUAGGGACCUUCAUCUUGCCUGCUACAAUGUGGUGCUCUGGACAUCUCUGCAGGGGGACAAGCAGUGUGGAAGACACAAGCUACUUCAGGGGCUAUGAUGACAGGCUGUUGGUCAACUGAUGAAUUAUUGGAAGUCUAUUACUGCAGGAACCAGGGGCCUAUUGUUUUAUGGAUACAAUUCAGGGGACCCAUGUAUUUGGAUGCAGAAAAUCAUCAUUUUAUUUUCAUAACCUCCUUCAUUUAUGGAUGCAGGAAUCAAAAACAUUUGUUAUCAAUACUUAUGACUAUGCUACUCAGAGAAAUCAGAGAUUUUUAAAAUUACAUAUUAAAGUUAUAUAUAUCCAAAA